rnacentral:rRNA from 1 species
UACGAAGGGGGCUAGCGUUGCUCGGAAUCACUGGGCGUAAAGGGUGCGUAGGCGGGUCUUUAAGUCAGGGGUGAAAUCCUGGAGCUCAACUCCAGAACUGCCUUUGAUACUGAGGAUCUUGAGUUCGGGAGAGGUGAGUGGAACUGCGAGUGUAGAGGUGAAAUUCGUAGAUAUUCGCAAGAACACCAGUGGCGAAGGCGGCUCACUGGCCCGAUACUGACGCUUGAGGUGCGAAAGCGUGGGGAGCAACAGG